rnacentral:ncRNA from 1 species
GCAGAGUAGGGGGCUGCGCGUGAAGUGCCUGUCGAACGGGGAGUUGUCGAUGGGACGAAAAGCGGUUUUCCGCUUGCGGUGCAGCGCCCGCAUCCCGCUGC